rnacentral:rRNA from 1 species
AUUGAACGCUGGCGGCAGGCCUAACACAUGCAAGUCGAGCGAGCGGCGGACGGGUGAGUAAUGUAUGGGGACUGCCCGAUAGAGGGGGAUAACUACUGGAAACGGUGGCUAAUACCGCAUACUAUCGGAUAACCCAUAUGGGUUGAGCUAGUAGGUGGGGUAAAGGCUCACCUAGGCGACGCUCCCUAGCUGGGCUGAGAGGAUGAUCAGCAACACUGGGACUGAGACACGGUCCAGACUCCUAGGGAGGCAGCAGUGGGGAAUAUUGCACAAUGGGCGCAAGCCUGAUGCAGCCAUGCCGCGUGUAUGAAGAAGGCCUGAGGGUUGUAAAGUACUUUCAGCGGGGAGGCGUUACCCGCAGAGGAAGCACCGGCUAACUCCGUGCCAGCAGCCGCGGUAAUUC